UACGGGGGGGGCAAGCGUUGUUCGGAAUUACUGGGCGUAAAGGGCUCGUAGGCGGCCAACUAAGUCGGACGUGAAAUCCCUCGGCUCAACCGGGGAACUGCGUCCGAUACUGGAUGGCUUGAGUUCGGGAGAGGGAUGCGGAAUUCCAGGUGUAGCGGUGAAAUGCGUAGAUAUCGUAAGGAAGACCAGUGGCGAAGGCGGGUCUCUGGACAGUUCCUGACGCUGAGGCACGAAGGUCAGGGGAGCAA
rnacentral:rRNA from 1 species